rnacentral:rRNA from 1 species
UCCUGCCAGAGGUCACUGCUAUCGGUGUUCGACUAAGCCAUGCGAGUCAAAUGUUCUUCGUGAACAUGGCGUACUGCUCAGUAACACGUGGAUAAUCUGCCCUUAGGUCUGGCAUAACCCCGGGAAACUGGGGAUAAUUCCGGAUAGAUCAUAGAUGCUGGAAUGCACUGUGAUCCAAAGCUUUUGUGCCUAAGGAUGAGUCUGCGGUCUAUCAGGUUGUAGUGGGUGUAACGUACCUACUAGCCUACGACGGAUACGGGUUGUGGGAGCAAGAGCCCGGAGAUGGAUUCUGAGACAUGAAUCCAGGCCCUACGGGGCGCAGCAGGCGCGAAAACUUUACAAUGCAGGAAACUGCGAUAAGGGGACACCGAGUGCCAGCAUCCUAUGUUGGCUGUCCGCAUGUUUAAAUCACAUGUGUUAGCAAGGG